UUGCCAUUCUUCAUGUGUUCAGGCUUUUGGAAAGACAAAAAAGUUGCGGUAAAGAGACUUGAACAUGUAGAUCAUGCCAGGAUGCCUAACCCUGAUCCUAAAUAACAGAUAGCCCUAGCUAUCCCAGGAAACCUAACUUUUGCAAUCAGUAACAAAUAAUUUCCUAGUGUCUUGAGUGAUUCAGGUAUUGCUAACUGCUGUAUGCAAUAGCUAGUGCUGAAUUCUGUAAUUUGCACCUUGAACAAACUUCUAUUUCUCCAGUGUCCUUCUUACUCUCUCUCCAUCUCUCUCUCUUUGCAGCACGACUAAGGGUUGCUAACGGCCUUUCUUUGGCCGGUAGUGGCCUCUACUUCUCAUUUCUUUGGGUUUUUAGAUAUUUUCUUUAGUAAUAAAGGUAAUUCUUUUAGAUCCAUAGAAUUUUUCAUGGAUUUACUUAGUUUUCUCUCCUUUUUAUGGAGUUAGCUUUCUAUGACUUUUGAUUAUGUCCUCUUGAUGGGAAUUCCAAGCUUAAAAGAAGAGUUAUCUUUACAGUUUCUUGAAGAUCCUUGCCUUAGCUUACUUGGUGGAUAAGAAGAUUUUCAAGCAAAAAUUAAAGUUAGUUUAUGUGAUGCCACCGAUUUGUAGAUGGUAAAAAAACUUUGGACCGAUCUACUCGAGAUCAAUGCUCUUUUCACUCGUCUACAAUAUCUGUGGUAGAUGUAAAAGGUAUGUGUUUUUACUCCCUAA
rnacentral:misc_RNA from 1 species